rnacentral:lncRNA from 1 species
AAGAGGGAGCUGCAUGUUGUCUCCUGCAUGUUCAAUGUCCUUUGAUCCUGUGCACUAAAUAGCAGUGGAGACCCCCUCUCACUCAUCCAUCCACCCAAUCAUUUUGACAACCAGAUGCAUUUCCAAACUCCUCUGGGGGCGGGAGUGGUAGGGAGGGAGAAAGGACAAUAACACACACGCACACAUACACACACACAGUUUGAAAGAAAAAAUAACCUAUCCAUCUGCUCCCUCCCUGAAUUAAUUUGUUCAUGGAGCACUUCCUCUUGGCCGGGCACUUGCUUGAUGUUGAGGAUACAAAGAAGAAUCAAACCCAGUGUCUAACCUCAAGGACCUCCCAGUCAGACUCUUUUGGAUGCAAGAAAAAGAU